AACGAACGCUGGCGGCAGGCCUAACACAUGCAAGUCGAGCGAGGACUUCGGUCCUAGCGGCGGACGGGUGAGUAACGCGUGGGAACGUGCCCUUUGCUACGGAAUAGCCCCGGGAAACUGGGAGUAAUACCGUAUGUGCCCGAGAGGGGAAAGAUUUAUCGGCAAAGGAUCGGCCCGCGUUGGAUUAGGUAGUUGGUGGGGUAAUGGCCUACCAAGCCGACGAUCCAUAGCUGGUUUGAGAGGAUGAUCAGCCACACUGGGACUGAGACACGGCCCAGACUCCUACGGGAGGCAGCAGUGGGGAAUCUUAGACAAUGGGGGAAACCCUGAUCUAGCCAUGCCGCGUGAGCGAUGAAGGCCUUAGGGUUGUAAAGCUCUUUCAGUGGGGAAGAUAAUGACGGUACCCACAGAAGAAGCCCCGGCUAACUCCGUGCCAGCCGCCGCCGUAAUAC
rnacentral:rRNA from 1 species